GGGUUGUGAGGUUAAGCGACUAAGCGUACACGGUGGAUGCCCUGGCAGUCAGAGGCGAUGAAGGACGUGCUAAUCUGCGAUAAGCGUCGGUAAGGUGAUAUGAACCGUUAUAACCGGCGAUUUCCGAAUGGGGAAACCCAGUGUGAUUCGUCACACUAUCAUUAACUGAAUCCAUAGGUUAAUGAGGCGAACCGGGGGAACUGAAACAUCUAAGUACCCCGAGGAAAAGAAAUCAACCGAGAUUCCCCAAGUAGCGGCGAGCGAACGGGGAGCAGCCCAGAGCCUGAAUCAGUGUGUGUGUUAGUGGAAGCGUCUGGAAAGGCGCGCGAUACAGGGUGACAGCCCCGUACACAAAAAUGCACAUACUGUGAGCUCGAUGAGUAGGGCGGGACACGUGGUAUCCUGUCUGAAUAUGGGGGGACCAUCCUCCAAGGCUAAAUACUCCUGACUGACCGAUAGUGAACCAGUACCGUGAGGGAAAGGCGAAAAGAACCCCGGCGAGGGGAGUGAAAAAGAACCUGAAACCGUGUACGUACAAGCAGUGGGAGCACGCUUAGGCGUGUGACUGCGUACCUUUUGUAUAAUGGGUCAGCGACUUAUAUUCUGUAGCAAGGUUAACCGAAUAGGGGAGCCGAAGGGAAACCGAGUCUUAACUGGGCGUUAAGUUGCAGGGUAUAGACCCGAAACCCGGUGAUCUAGCCAUGGGCAGGUUGAAGGUUGGGUAACACUAACUGGAGGACCGAACCGACUAAUGUUGAAAAAUUAGCGGAUGACUUGUGGCUGGGGGUGAAAGGCCAAUCAAACCGGGAGAUAGCUGGUUCUCCCCGAAAGCUAUUUAGGUAGCGCCUCGUGAAUUCAUCUCCGGGGGUAGAGCACUGUUUCGGCAAGGGGGUCAUCCCGACUUACCAACCCGAUGCAAACUGCGAAUACCGGAGAAUGUUAUCACGGGAGACACACGGCGGGUGCUAACGUCCGUCGUGAAGAGGGAAACAACCCAGACCGCCAGCUAAGGUCCCAAAGUCAUGGUUAAGUGGGAAACGAUGUGGGAAGGCCCAGACAGCCAGGAUGUUGGCUUAGAAGCAGCCAUCAUUUAAAGAAAGCGUAAUAGCUCACUGGUCGAGUCGGCCUGCGCGGAAGAUGUAACGGGGCUAAACCAUGCACCGAAGCUGCGGCAGCGACGCUUAUGCGUUGUUGGGUAGGGGAGCGUUCUGUAAGCCUGUGAAGGUGUGCUGUGAGGCAUGCUGGAGGUAUCAGAAGUGCGAAUGCUGACAUAAGUAACGAUAAAGCGGGUGAAAAGCCCGCUCGCCGGAAGACCAAGGGUUCCUGUCCAACGUUAAUCGGGGCAGGGUGAGUCGACCCCUAAGGCGAGGCCGAAAGGCGUAGUCGAUGGGAAACAGGUUAAUAUUCCUGUACUUGGUGUUACUGCGAAGGGGGGACGGAGAAGGCUAUGUUGGCCGGGCGACGGUUGUCCCGGUUUAAGCGUGUAGGCUGGUUUUCCAGGCAAAUCCGGAAAAUCAAGGCUGAGGCGUGAUGACGAGGCACUACGGUGCUGAAGCAACAAAUGCCCUGCUUCCAGGAAAAGCCUCUAAGCAUCAGGUAACAUCAAAUCGUACCCCAAACCGACACAGGUGGUCAGGUAGAGAAUACCAAGGCGCUUGAGAGAACUCGGGUGAAGGAACUAGGCAAAAUGGUGCCGUAACUUCGGGAGAAGGCACGCUGAUAUGUAGGUGAAGUCCCUCGCGGAUGGAGCUGAAAUCAGUCGAAGAUACCAGCUGGCUGCAACUGUUUAUUAAAAACACAGCACUGUGCAAACACGAAAGUGGACGUAUACGGUGUGACGCCUGCCCGGUGCCGGAAGGUUAAUUGAUGGGGUCAGCGCAAGCGAAGCUCUUGAUCGAAGCCCCGGUAAACGGCGGCCGUAACUAUAACGGUCCUAAGGUAGCGAAAUUCCUUGUCGGGUAAGUUCCGACCUGCACGAAUGGCGUAAUGAUGGCCAGGCUGUCUCCACCCGAGACUCAGUGAAAUUGAACUCGCUGUGAAGAUGCAGUGUACCCGCGGCAAGACGGAAAGACCCCGUGAACCUUUACUAUAGCUUGACACUGAACAUUGAGCCUUGAUGUGUAGGAUAGGUGGGAGGCUUAGAAGUGUGGACGCCAGUCUGCAUGGAGCCGACCUUGAAAUACCACCCUUUAAUGUUUGAUGUUCUAACGUUGACCCGUAAUCCGGGUUGCGGACAGUGUCUGGUGGGUAGUUUGACUGGGGCGGUCUCCUCCUAAAGAGUAACGGAGGAGCACGAAGGUUGGCUAAUCCUGGUCGGACAUCAGGAGGUUAGUGCAAUGGCAUAAGCCAGCUUGACUGCGAGCGUGACGGCGCGAGCAGGUGCGAAAGCAGGUCAUAGUGAUCCGGUGGUUCUGAAUGGAAGGGCCAUCGCUCAACGGAUAAAAGGUACUCCGGGGAUAACAGGCUGAUACCGCCCAAGAGUUCAUAUCGACGGCGGUGUUUGGCACCUCGAUGUCGGCUCAUCACAUCCUGGGGCUGAAGUAGGUCCCAAGGGUAUGGCUGUUCGCCAUUUAAAGUGGUACGCGAGCUGGGUUUAGAACGUCGUGAGACAGUUCGGUCCCUAUCUGCCGUGGGCGCUGGAGAACUGAGGGGGGCUGCUCCUAGUACGAGAGGACCGGAGUGGACGCAUCACUGGUGUUCGGGUUGUCAUGCCAAUGGCACUGCCCGGUAGCUAAAUGCGGAAGAGAUAAGUGCUGAAAGCAUCUAAGCACGAAACUUGCCCCGAGAUGAGUUCUCCCUGACCCUUUAAGGGUCCUGAAGGAACGUUGAAGACGACGACGUUGAUAGGCCGGGUGUGUAAGCGCAGCGAUGCGUUGAGCUAACCGGUACUAAUGAACCGUGAGGCUUAACCUUACAACGCCGAAGGUGUUU
rnacentral:rRNA from 1 species